UACGAAGGGUGCAAGCGUUACUCGGAAUUACUGGGCGUAAAGGGCGCGUAGGUGGUUUUUUAAGUCUGCUGUGAAAUCCCCGGGCUCAACCUGGGAAUGGCAGUGGAUACUGGAAAGCUGGAGUGCGGUAGAGGGUAGUGGAAUUCCCGGUGUAGCGGUGAAAUGCGUAGAGAUCGGGAGGAACACCAGUGGCGAAGGCGGCUACCUGGACCAGCACUGACACUGAGGCGCGAAAGCGUGGGGAGCAAACAGG
rnacentral:rRNA from 1 species